rnacentral:rRNA from 1 species
CCUGACGGUAGUCGUAUGCUCGUCUCCGAGACUAAGCCAUGCAAGUCCAAGUACACGUCCUUGAACGACGGAAACUGCGAACGGCUCAUUAAAUCAGUUGCGAUCUACUCGGCGUUCCGCGCCGCCGGAUAACCGUAGUAAUUCUAGGGCUAAUACGUGCGAAGCGCCCGAAGCCGCGAGGCGACGGGCGUUCUCGCCGGAUGUAGGAACCGACCCGGGGACCGCCGGGGCAACCCGGCGCCCCCGAGACGGGGCGAACCACGGUGAAAUGACGGAUCGUCGGCCCCGCGCCGGCGACUCGCCGAAUGAGUUUCUGACCUAUCAACUCGAGACGGCGGGGUAGAGGCCCGCCGCGGUAACGACGGGUAACGGGGAAUUAGGGUUUGAUUCCGGAGAAAAGGCCUGAGAGACGGCCAUUACUUCUAAGGAAGGCAGCAGGCGCGUAAAUUACCCAAUCCUAAUACGGGGAGGUAGUGACAGAAUAUUGAUAUUGGACCCAAAGGGUACAAUGAUUGAAAUGAGAACAAUAUAAAAAACUUAACGAACUAACAAUUAGGAGGGCAAGUCUGGUGCCAG